CCUACGGGAGGCAGCAGUGAGGAAUAUUGGUCAAUGGACGAGAGUCUGAACCAGCCAAGUAGCGUGAAGGAUGACUGCCCUAUGGGUUGUAAACUUUUUUUAUAGAGGAAUAAAUCUAGGCACUUGUACCUUUUUGCAUUGACUUUAUGAAUAAGGAUCGGCUAAAUCCGUGCCAGCAGCCGCGGUAAUACGGAGGAUCCGAGCGUUACCCGGAUUUAUUUGGUUUAAAGGGAGCGUAGAUGGUUUGUUGAGUCAGUUGUGAAAGUUUGCGGCUCAACCGUAAAAUUGCAAUUGAUACUGGGAGGCUUGAGUACAGUUGAGGUAGGCAGAAUUCGUGGUGUAGCGGUGAAAUGCUUAGAGAUCACGAAGAACACCGAUUGCGAAGGCAGCCCACUAAACUGACACUGACAUUGAUGCUCGAAAGUGUGGGUAGCAAACAGGAUUAGAUACCCGUGUAGUC
rnacentral:rRNA from 1 species